rnacentral:rRNA from 1 species
CCUACGGGAGGCAGCAGUGAGGAAUAUUGGUCAAUGGGCGCGAGCCUGAACCAGCCAAGUCGCGUGAGGGAAGACGGCCCUACGGGUUGUAAACCUCUUUUGCCGGGGAGCAACGGGCGCCACGUGUGGCGCCACUGAGAGUACCCGGAGAAAAAGCAUCGGCUAACUCCGUGCCAGCAGCCGCGGUAAUACGGAGGAUGCGAGCGUUAUCCGGAUUUAUUGGGUUUAAAGGGUGCGUAGGCGGAGCGUUAAGUCAGUGGUCAAAUUGAGGGGCUCAACCCCUUCCCGCCAUUGAAACUGGGGGCCUUGAGUGGGCGAGAAGAAGGCGGAAUGCGUGGUGUAGCGGUGAAAUGCAUAGAUAUCACGCAGAACCCCGAUUGCGAAGGCAGCCUUCCGGCGCCCUACUGACGCUGAGGCACGAAAGUGCGGGGAUCGAACAGGAUUAGAUACCCGUGUAGUC